AGGACGAACGCUGGCGGCGCGCUUAACACAUGCAAGUCGAGCGAGAACCAGGGCUUCGGCCCUGGGGAAAGCGGCGAACGGGUGAGUAACACGUGAGUAACCUGUCCUCGGCACCGGGAUAGCCCGGGGAAACCCGGAUUAAUACCGGAUGGCCUUUCGAGUCUUCGGGCUCGUCAGAAAAGGUAGCUUCGGCCUCCGGCCGAGGAGGGACUCGCGGCGGAUUAGCUUGUUGGUGGGGUAACGGCUCACCAAGGCGACGAUCCGUAGCUGGUCUGAGAGGACGAUCAGCCACACUGGGACUGAGACACGGCCCAGACUCCUACGGGAGGCAGCAGUGGGGAAUCUUGCGCAAUGGGCGAAAGCCUGACGCAGCGACGCGCGUGCGGGAAGAAGGCCUUGGUGUAAACCGCUUUCGAGGAGGGACGAAGCCACGUCGGUUAAUAGCCCAGAGGUGACGGUACCUCCGAGAAGAAGCCCCGGCUAACGUACGUGCCAGCAGCCGAGU
rnacentral:rRNA from 1 species